UAUGUUUUAACCUUUUUCUGGUAGUUUUCUAGGUUGAGAUGGUAAUUUGAGAAUCGUAUAAGAUUAAUCCUCAAAAUUUGAAUUUUUGUUUUCUCUCCCGACAACCUCUCUCUUCGCGACUGACUACGGCUUCUCCAAUGAAUUUCCGGUCGAAUCUACGGUUGAAUUUUUGUUUUCUCUCCCAAAUCACCACCAAUCAAAGGUCAAUUGAGAAUCGUAUGAAAUUUUGAUCUGAGUAAGUUUUUUGAUUGUGGUGAUCGAAACUGGGAAUCGGAAAAAACCCCAUCCCCCAACAGAGUAGCUGUCAAAAGCCUGAGGAUUCAGUUCGAGAACCUCAUAUAGUGCACCUUUUCAAAGGCUUGAUGGACAUCACUUUCGUUACAUAUUCAAGGGGCUACUGGCAUUAUCAACCCCCUUCAAUGCUGAUCAGAGAUAUUAGUGUUUGCAGCGUGAUGGCUUGGUCUUUAGGUGUUAGAAGUCAAUGAUUCAUUUGCAAGAAGAUACACAACAACUGAGAAGAGGCAGUAGUGGCACCCAAUCCCUGGGUUUCAGAAAGAAAUGGAAUGGAGUAUGGAGAUGAUGCUGAAGACGAAUCUGAGAACUCGGAAAAGACUUUGGCAACAAAACUUGCAUAUGGACUAAUGUGCAACCAUCUUCUGAAGAUGAAGACGUCUGCUCUACAUAUCUGGAUGAAUACACCAAAAAAUUCCAAAAUUCAAACGACAUGUCCUCAUCAUUUUCAAUUUGGUUGCAAUAAUGAGUGGUUGGCCAAAAACGAAAGAUGGCCAAUUUGUGGAAGGAAAUACAUUAUUGGUGAAGAGGUCAUUGCAAAGCCAGAGUCGAACGUCGUCGGAAACUUCCCUACUGUAAACGCUGCAGUCAAAGGAAUCACCAAAAGAUGGCAAAGAGACAAU